rnacentral:lncRNA from 1 species
UUCCUCUGUGGAGUAAUCAAGCAUCAGAGGAGCCUGAGCGUAAUGUUAAUGUUCUGAGUGCUUCUGAAGUGACAGGAAGUGGUGCAUAUGCCCAGGGACAAAGCCAAGUUGAGGAGCAGAACCACAGUAGCUUGAGGAAGGAAUAGGUGAGAGAAAUAAGCUUCAAAUGAAAUAGGCUUUCGAUGUGACAGUGUUUACAGGAAACAUUAUGCUGUUACGAACUUCCCUUAGAAUCAACCCAUUUGUGAAACACCACAUUAAUAAGAGCAGUAUCUUUGGAGAUUGGAGAGUCCACCAAGGAUGCCCACUGGCUCCCUACAAAGUUUUUUAUGUGAGGACUCGGUCUCAGGCUCAGAAGUGGAAGAGAUGUGCCUUGACUCAGAUGAGACUUUGGACUUGGACUUUUGAGUUAAUUCUGGAAUGAGUUAAAACUUUAGGGGACUGUUGGGAAGGCAUUAUUGUGUUUUAAAUGUGAAAAGAACAUGAGGUAUGGGAGGGGUCAGGGGUGGAAUGAUAUGGUUUGGCUCUGUGUCCCCACCCAAAUCUCAUGUCAAAUUUUAAUCCCCAGUGUUGGUGGAGGAGCCUAGUGAGAGGUGACUGAAUCACAGGGGCAGACUUCCUCCUUGUUUCUCUUGUGAUAGUGAGUGAGUUCUCAUGAACUCUGGUUGUUGUAAAGUGUGUGGCACCUUUCCCUUCACUCUCUCUCUUCCUCCUGCUCUUGCCGUGAGAAUAAGUGCAUGCUUCCCCUCCUGCCAUGGGAAUAAGUGCAUGCUUCCCCUCCUGCCAUGAGAACAAGUGCAUGCUUCUCCUUUUGCCUUCUACCAUGUUUGAAAGUUUCCUGAAGCCUCUCCAGCCAUGCUCCCUGUGCAGCCUGCAGAACUAUGAGCCAAUUAAACAUGUUUUUGUAUAUAAAUUACCCAAUCUUAAGUAGUUCUUUAUAGCAACACAAGAAUAAACUCAUACAACCCCCAUUAUCAUUCAGCUAAAUAUGGUUGGGUUUUUGGAGCCUCAAGCAUGAAGGUGAACUGGCUAUGGCUAUACCAGCCUGAAAGGAUUGAACUCUCCCCUGGAAUCCCAGAACAAAUUCCUUCAACUGAAAAUGUCUCUCCUGUCUCGAGGAGCAAGUCCCCACAAAUUUAUUUUCUCACUUUCAUCCAAACUCUGAUAAUUCUGGAAAGAAGACCAAAGAUUUGUCAAUAACAGGCACUCUUAGGGCAGUGUCUGUUCCCUGAGCUGAUCAUAGGAGCAUGUUGGGAAAUUUCAUCAAAUGUAAAAUCAAAGCCUUGUAUUAGACUUAGCAAAAGUUAGCCGUUGGCAAAUUGUGAAAUUGGUUAAGUAUGCCUGUGGCACCUUCCCACUUUCAUAAUUAAUUUUUAUGCCCUCCCACUUGGCUCUUAUAACCCUACAAGUACAAAUAAUUGGUCAUUUGUGUGACUUUCUGUUUAUUGCAUGUCUCUAUUUAACUUGCUAUAAUUUGCAUAUGUGUGGAGACUACACUUGUCUUUUUGGCUACUAUAUCCUUCUGUCCCCUAAUAUUGUACCUGAUUAUGGAAUACGCCAAUUUAUUAAAUGAAUAAAGUUUUUUUAAAUAUCUUGACCCCUUUUUGGAACAUUAUAUAGCACAAAAAUAAUUGUUCAGUGACUGUACCUUAACUGAAUGGAUUGUAUGAGUAAUGGAAGUGGUUAAGAUAUGAAUCACUCUGGGAUUGCAUUUCCACAAAACUUUUCCAAGACCUAUCAUAAGAGGGAGGGAAGAGUGAGACCUCCCAAUACACUGUAUAUUUACAAGAACUGCAAAACUUUCAAUGGUAUGUUUCUUUACUUGUAGCAGGCUUUAGGUUUCAACCUGUUCUCUCUAAUGCCUGCCACUGUCUACCUCAUCUCUGUGACUUCUGUCUCCAUGUAGUUGGCUGUGAAAUAGGAUGCAGUUUCUUCUUCUUCCCUUGCUAUUUUUGUUUAAUGGACACAAGUCCCUAUUUAAUCACCUGGAAAAGCUACCAGAAGGGGAAGAAAGCAAGCCACAUUGAGAGUAUACACUACUCUUACUAAUAUAAUCUUAGGCCAUUUGUACUGUUUUUGUUUCUGGGCCAUAUUGUAAACUCUUUGGUAUGGAACAAUAAUAAUCAAAAUUGCUUACAUGUAUUGAGUACAUGUUAUUUAUUAUACUCAUUUGACACUUUAAACUGUUUUGUCAUUUAGUCUCAAAAUGGUUUGGAUUUACAAAUGAGUACACUGAGGCUCAAAAAGGAGUA